AAACUCAUGGAAGGAUAAAGGAGAGGGCUGUAGGGUAGGCCACCAGGAAUGAUACCCAGCACUGUACUCCCCAUGCACUGACCUCUGCAGUUUCCCCAAACAUGGAAACUCGACUGCAUAAUUUGUGGUAGUGGGGGACUACGUUCGCGCUCUUCCCUG
rnacentral:snRNA from 1 species